AAGGAAAACAAUUCCCUAGUUGCUGCACUCACUCGAAGACACACAUCAAUAAAAACAAACAUAUGUUCGAUGAAUUCACUCCGACCGAGUCGCAGUUCAUCUAUCCUUGACAAUUGCAUCAGAUAAGUACAAGAAUCGUAUUAUUUCAUACAAAAAUCCAGACCACCUAUUUCACCAUGUUUCAUUGUGUUUUACCAAACAAUUUCAGAGUGCCUAUCCUUGAUGUACUCACGUAAGAAUAAUCUGUUACAAUUUCGAUUCUCGCGGACGAUGCUGAGAAUCAACCUGAAGCAUCCGCUACCAAAUUCGGGGUGCACACUCUCAACCACCUAGGCUACAAAACUCAACAGCGGACCUAGUUUGGCCGAGCGAUGCACUCCCAUUGGGCAUCAGAACUGGCAGCACUUCCGCGGCUGUGCUUCAAGACGUGGAAACAAAACAGAAAUCAUGUGAGCUUAAGUUUUGAGGUAUAUUCGACAUUUGCCGAAUGAAGUUCAAAAACUUCGACGAACUGAAACGGACACGAUUCUCGCAGCUCCGGGGUUUUGGCUCUUGCUGAGUUGGACUAGUAAACACAGCUGACUCAGCAGCAAACCCACGGAGAUUUGCCACCUAGUUAUUUCAUGGCGCCAGCUAAGAAAAAUUCCAG
rnacentral:lncRNA from 1 species